GACUUAUCAUGCAGCUCCAUAGGCCCAAGAGAUGCAAUAAUGUAACAGACAAGAUCUUUUAAGUGUCCACGCAUCAGGAAUGGGGCAGGACGUGUUGGACAUGCCUUUCCUCCGCAAUGCCUGUGGCCUCAGGUGGAACACUCAAAGUCUGGGGGCAGAAAUCACCGGAAGAUUUACUCACAUACAUCUAGUGGUUGAUUCUGGCCUUGGGUCACAGAUCUGGCCAGUCCCAGGCUUCCUUACAUCAUAGCUCUGGAUUCUGAG